AGAAUCAACGCUGGCGGCGUGCCUAACACAUGCAAGUCGAACGAGAAAGUGGAGCAAUCCAUGAGUACAGUGGCGACCGGGUGAGUAACACGUGACUACCUACCCUUGAGUGGGGGAUAACCUACGGGAAACCGAGGCUAAUACCGCAUAAUAUCGAGAGAUCAAAGGAGUAAUCCGCUUUGGAGGGGGUCGCGGCUGAUUAGCUAGUUGGUAGGUAAUGGCCUACAAAGGCGAAGAUCGGUA
rnacentral:rRNA from 1 species